ACUGAAAAAGAAAAAAAUAAAGUUCUGUUGUAAUCCUUGAAAGUUAACUUAUAUUUUUUAUAUUGUAGGAAUAACCUUUUGAGACAAUAGUUUCUAUAAUAAUAAAGUAACUUAAGGGGCUACAUACACCUAGAAAUUUUGAAAAAAUGAAUUUUUCGUUUUUUUGGUAUUUGGAAAGUAUAAGGUCUUGAGAAUAUCUCUUGCAAGUUUCAAAGUGAUUCCUUAAAAAUUGUCGGAGAUAUAGCGAGAAAGAUCCAAACGCGUUUAACGAUGCUGGGGCGCGAUGAGCGCCUUCUAAUCCUUUGCAACAGAUAGCUUACACAAGAAUAUUACGCCGGCAAGCUAGAAUCGAAGCCUUUGAUGCCGCUACAUCUGGGGAGGGUUCACUGUAUGGUCCUGGAGUGGAUGACUUUAUAUAAGUCCUGUACGAGCUGCAAUUGGCACCGCGGAGCACCUUUUUUUAACAAGGUCUUGCGACGAGGACAAUAUCUCCGCCAUUUUUAAAUAUUUUUAGUUUAAAUUUAUUCUGAAACAUGUUCUAAGAAUGUAUUUUAAAGUAAAGAAAACUAGGAUUAAUUACAUACAUUACGUUUCGAAAAAAAAAUCGAGAAAGAGACCUAUUUUUUACGUCUCUGGGUGUAUGUAGCCCCUUAAAGAAGAUCUUGUUUUUAAAAAGUUUUUAGAGCCAUUUACUUUGUUUCUGACUUAAAAUUUUUUUCAUUAAAAAUUUAAUAUGGCAAGCAAAAGUAAAACAACCUGAUUUAUUAUGAAACUUUCAAAAGUUAUAAGAUAUUGAAUUUGAAUAUAUUGAAUUUAAAUCGUCAAAAUAUCAAAAUAUAAAUAUCUCAUUCUAACUUAUUGCACCAAUGCAGCAGUGCAGCGAAAAAGAACAGCUCAAUAGAGUGCAAGAACCAACCAAAAGAAUAUCAGGCGAUUAAAAAGACAAUUAAAUAACCUGGAUAUAUAUUAUGAGUUUUUAUAUCUAACUCUUCUAUUUGCUUAUGUUAUAAUCAAGAUUUAAGAGUUAAUGCACUUGUAGGCAUUACCACACUGAGCUAACACGAUUUAAAUAAAAAAAAACUA